rnacentral:rRNA from 1 species
GCUAACAUGCAGUCGAACGAGAAAGUGGAGCAUCCAUGAGUAAGUGGCGACCGGGUGAGUAACACGUGACUAACCUACCUUCAAGUGGGGGAUAACCUCGGGAAACCGGGACUAAUACCGCAUAACAUCUCUGGGGCGGAAGAACUGGAGAUCAAAGGAGCAAUUCGCUGGAAGAGGGGGUCGCGGCUGAUUAGCUAGUUGGCGGGGUAAUGGCCCACCAAGGCAGAGAUCGGUAGCCGGCCUGAGAGGGCGCACGGCACACUGGAACUGAAACACGGUCCAGACUCCUACGGGAGGCAGCAGUGGGGAAUUUUGCGCAAUGGGGGAAACCCUGACGCAGCAACGCCGCGUGGAGGAUGAAGUCCCUUGGGACGUAAACUCCUUUCGACCGGGACGAUAAUGACGGUACCGGUGGAAGAAGCCCCGGCUAACUUCGUGCCAGCAGCCGCGGUAAUACGAGGGGGGCAAGCGUUGUUCGGAAUUAUUGGGCGUAAAGGGCGCGUAGGCGGUGCGGUAAGUCACCUGUGAAAUCUCUGGGCUCAACUCAGAGUCUGCAGGCGAAACUGCCGUGCUGGAGUAUGGGAGAGGUGCGUGGAAUUCCCGGUGUAGCGGUGAAAUGCGUAGAUUCGGGAGGAACACCUGU